rnacentral:rRNA from 1 species
AGUCGUAACAAGGUUUCCGUAGGUGAACCUGCGGAAGGAUCAUUACCGUUACUCUGUGUCUUGCACACACUGUAAACCACUGUGAACUGUUUCGAGCUUGUGGGGUGGUUCUUCUUUGCAGGAGAAUCUCAAAUGCAGUUAGACAGCCGAGGCUGGCUGCUGCGGCCCCACAUGUCUGUCUCUUAUGUUUUUCAAAACACUCGUCAAUUCAUUCCAGUUGAAUAGUAUCACUCUGGCCAGUCCAGUUUGAUACACAGUUUAAACACAUGACAACUUCUAACGGUGGAUCUCUUGGCUCGUGCAUCGAUGGAGAACGUAGCCAGUUGCGAUAAGUAGUGUGAAUUGCAGAAUUCAGUGAAUCAUCGAAUCUUUGAACGCAAAUUGCGCUCUCUGGAUAUCCAGGGAGCAUGCCUGUCUGAGUGUCGUGAUAAAAACUACACACCCCUGGUGUGGCAUGUGGGUAUCGAGUUUGCAGAUUGCUCAGGCGUUCUGUACUAAACUCGUCCUGCGAAGUGCGUGAACCUGAAUGUGCUGCUGACUGCAUGUGCAUUGGGAAGGCUCAACUUGCUUCUGUCUUUCCCUCUGCGUUCUCAUGCCAGCAGUAUCAUUGUAGAUGGUGAACAAGACGGUGUCCCACCCAUGGGGCGGGCACGAUGUCAAUUUCUGAUUUUGACCUCAGAUCAGACAAGACUACCCGCUGAAUUUAAGCAUAUCA